rnacentral:lncRNA from 1 species
UUUAUUGUUGCAUCUUUAUUAUAGUUUACAAGUUUAAAAAUGCAACAUGUAUUCUUGACUAUGUGGUACUGUGUCCAAUUUAUAUCAGUCACGAAAGAAGACCCAGGGAAUCGUCAUUUGAGAUUAGAUUGGAAAACAAGGCAGAGGAUUUGUGUUGGUAUUGCUAAAGGCUUGGCUUACCUUCAUGAAGAGUCAAGACUGAAGAUUGUUCAUAGGGACAUCAAGGCCACUAAUGUAUUGCUAGAUCAAGAUCUCAACCCAAAGAUAUCUGAUUUUGGUUUGGCCAAGCUCAAAGAAGAGGACAGUACCCACAUAGACACCAGAAUAGCUGGCACUUAGUGAGUUCCCAUAUUUUGUAUUAUUCUGCAUUGAUUAAUUUUUUAGAAGGUUCUGCAUUGAUUUUUUUGGUCUUUAUAUUUUGUUUAAAUGAUCACACCAUGAAGAAAAAAAUAAUAAAGGUUAUAUAAUGAAAUAUAUUAUCAAACUUUAAACUAGAAGGUGAGCUUCGGUGCAACAGUAAGGUUGGUUGUCUCAUCACCUUGAGGUCAUGAGUACAAAUAUUGGAAACAACCUCUUUGCUUGCAAGGAUCAGGGCGUAGGGCUGAAUACAUCUACCAUCUCUAGAUUCCACUAGGUGGAAGUCUCAUGAUUUGGGCCGCCCUUUUUUACCUUAUCAAACUUUAAUUCUUCAACUUAUGGAUUUUAAAAAGGUUAUAUAUGACUUAAAUUCUUCAAGUUACUGUAAUUGAUUAAUUUUCAACACUACACCUUUAUCUAUUUCUCCAACAUCAUGUUGUAUGAUAAAGCCCUGAUACACGCAUAUGCUUGACUUUAGAAGGAGCUUAAAAUUUUCUUAUCUUUUCAUUGAAAUUUUUUCCACUUCUGUGUUAGAACCAAAUAAACCUGUGGCUGUAAGUGUAUUUUGAUAUUUUUACAAGCAAAAGGUUUUUAGAAACUUCAACAGUCAAUGUGGUUUUAUCUUUGCACAGUUAUACUGCAGAGAAAGGAAAGUUAGCAAAUAGAAACUUCUAUUUCUUAUGUGUUUACUGGAAAUUAUAAUGUACAGCUCGGAAUACAUGAUAAGAAAUUACCUUAUUCUAAUCCUAUUUUAUUUAUCUCAAUAUUCUCAUUGUUGAGAAUUGUUCAUUUACUUCAACAAUCCCAUUAUUUGAACACUGGGCAUGACACUCAGUUUACACCUCUUUUACAUCAAUCGGCAUAAGGUGCCCCUAUAUAGGUGUCAUAUUUAGGGUACAAAAAUUAUUUUGUAUUUAUAGUAAGAAAAGAGUUAAACAAUAGGACACUGCAGCACAGCUACAUAAUUUAGCUGCUAUUAAUUAUAAUUUAGAAUUCUCCACUUUUUGCUAACAAUAUCUUAGAAUUCUCCCCAGCAGUCAAGUUGAUUUGUUGCAUUCAAUGGCUGAGCAAGACAUUUAUAUCAAGUGGGGCCAUGCCACCAUUAAAAUAUAUAAAGAAAUUAAUUUACAGGUGUUAAACCAAACUGAGGGUGAGUCUCGGCGCAACGGUAAGGUUGCUUGCCUUUUGAACUGGACUACUGGAGGUCAUGUAUGCAAAUCUUGAGAACAACUUCAUUUGGGAGGGUAAGAUUGUGUAUAUCUACCCUCCAUACCCAUUAGGUGGGAGUCUCGUGCAUUGAACCUCCCUUUUAGAUGUUAAACCAAACCAAGCAUAAAGAUAUGCAAUCAAAUAAUAAUAUAAUUGGGGGAGAGCAUACACCAAUCCUGCUGCCAUCUGCCCCUGGUUGAAUCACCUCAGAUUCUGAAUAGGAUUCUAUGAACUUUAUGCAGAGAUCUCUCAUAUAACAACUUCAGCAUAAAAAACAUUGAGCAACAGCAGACUUGUCAACAAGGAAGCGUGUAAGAAUCCUGCAUAUUUUACUGUUUCAUUUUUUUUGUAAGUUUAAGACGCUAUCCGAGCCUUAACCAUUUCUCAUAUGGCGCAGGAACUUGUUUGCAUCCUCUAUGGAUGGCAAUAGCUUGUAAGUUUUUCUCUCAAGCUAAAUUAUUGAAGUACAUAUUUACAUGUAUUUAGGUUAUUGUGUGUUAACUUGUUGUUUCCCUCUUUUUUAUUUUCUCAGAGGAAACAUUUCAUGUUUGGCAAAUUAUCACUGUCCUAAAAGUAAGUUGAGUUAUCAUGGAUUUCUUAUAGACUUACUGUAACAUUUGAACCUCUUGUUUUUUAAUGUAUUUAUUGUAUAUUUUGAGUUUGAAAUACAAGGAAAACGUAAGUUAUAUUUUUAUAACAUAUUUUAUAACAAUUAUUGAUUCUUUUAGUUACUCACAUAAUCUAUUUUUCCAGCCUUGUACUCUCUCUAUAUAAAUUGUGGUGGAAAGCUUGUAAUUUCUAAUGGGAGCAAGACAUAUGAUGAUGAUUCGAGUGAAAUGGGACCAGCAAGAUUUCGUCAAACCGGAAUGAACUGGGCAGUUAUCACUGCUGGUCACUUCUUCGAUAGUGGUCGCUCAGACUACUAUACAUGGUCUAAUACAACUAAGCUUCUUAUGGACAAUGCUGAACUGUACAUGGAUGCACGUGUUUCUCCCAAUACUUUGACUUAUUAUGGAUUUUGCCUGGGAAAUGGAAACUACACAGUGAAUCUCCAUUUUGCAGAAAUAAUGUUCACUAAUGAUGAAACAUAUUAUAGCCUGGGAAGGCGUGUGUUUGACAUCUACAUUCAGGUUCACGAUUUUAUCAUAUUCCCACCUUUGUCAACCACAUGUUAAAUAUUUAGCAAAUGCCUUUUGGCAAAGUGGCCACUAGUCUCUUUGGGGACAUCGUGUUAGCAGAUUCAAAUCCUAGAGCAGAUUGUUUGAUGUAAACCAAAAUAUGUCCUAAUCCAAUGAAAUAAUGAACUUAAUAAUGCAAAACUGUGCGAUACAAUAUUCUCAUUUCUUCCUAUACUUCGAAAGUUAUAACUAUCAUGAACGAUCUGUAUCUGGAUUUUAAUAUUGCAGAGAAAGUUGGUGGUAAAGGAUUUCAACAUUGCAAAGGAAGCAGGGGGUGUUGGUAAGCCAGUCAUUAAGAAGUUCACUGUUGCUGUGACUAGUAAUGCCUUGGAAAUUCGUUUAUAUUGGGCUGGGAAAGGAACAACUACUAUCCCAUUUGGAUCAGUAUAUGGUCCUCUUAUAUCAGCUAUAUCUGUUGAUUCUGGUGGGUUGUACUUCUCUGUAGUUUCUUAUUCUCUGCUAUCACCAUUAUCAUUUAAUAAUGUAAAACUCAUAAUAACACGCAGACUUUACACCCCAAUCGGAAAGUGGUAGUAGCAUAUCGGCAGGGGUUGUGGUUGCAAUUGUGGCUGCAGGAGCAAUUUUUAUCAUCUUUGUAUUUGGUAUGCUGUGGUGGAAAGGUUGUCUAGGACUUAAAAGUUCAGUGGCAAAAGGUAAACACUGAGAAAUUACUCCAAUUAUCCUGAAUACCAAUUUUUGAUAAAAAUUCAGAAAUUUUUAUGCACCAAAACCAGAUUUUGCAUGUCUUGUACAUGAAUUUGAUUGUUGAGCUAUCUAAUUGCUUGGCCUUUCAUCGUACUUAAUCUUUUUGCUAACUUCUCGUGAUGAAACUAACAACACAGGUGAUGAAUUGAAUGAUGCCAUUUGUUUCCAAAUGGAUAUAUAGUUAUCCUAAUAUUAGAGAUCUCUGAUUUUUGCUGGCUUCUACUGACAGAUCUAAAGGGUUUAAGUUCACAAAGUGGCGUAUUUACAUUACGGCAAAUCAAAGCUGCAACAAACAACUUUGAUGAAUCCUUUAAGAUUGGAAAAGGAGGGUUUGGCCCUGUUUACAAGGUAUGUUCUGAAAAACCCAACAUGUUUGAUCGACCAUCAUGACUUGUAUGUUCUAUCGUGGCAAUCAAAAGCUGUAUAACAUCACCAAAAUGCAGGGUAUUCUGUCAGAUGGCACAGUAGUAGCUGUUAAGCAGCUUUCAUCAAAAUCAAGGCAAGGAAACCGUGAAUUUGUAAAUGAGAUAGGCAUGAUUUCUGCUUUGAAACACCCUAAUCUUGUUAAACUCCACGGCUUUUGUGUGGAGGAGGAUCAGUUGUUGCUGAUAUAUGAAUACAUGGAAAACAAUAGCCUUGCUCAUACUUUAUUUGGUAAUUAUUUCUGUGUUCAAGUUUAUUGUUGCAUCUUUAUUAUAGUUUACAAGUUUAAAAAUGCAACAUGUAUUCUUGACUAUGUGGUACUGUGUCCAAUUUAUAUCAGUCACGAAAGAAGACCCAGGGAAUCGUCAUUUGAGAUUAGAUUGGAAAACAAGGCAGAGGAUUUGUGUUGGUAUUGCUAAAGGCUUGGCUUACCUUCAUGAAGAGUCAAGACUGAAGAUUGUUCAUAGGGACAUCAAGGCCACUAAUGUAUUGCUAGAUCAAGAUCUCAACCCAAAGA